rnacentral:rRNA from 1 species
AGUGAACGCUGGCGGUAGGCCUAACACAUGCAAGUCGAACGGCAGCACAGUAAGAGCUUGCUCUUACGGGUGGCGAGUGGCGGACGGGUGAGGAAUACAUCGGAAUCUACUUUUUCGUGGGGGAUAACGUAGGGAAACUUACGCUAAUACCGCAUACGACCUACGGGUGAAAGCAGGGGAUCUUCGGACCUUGCGCGAUUGAAUGAGCCGAUGUCGGAUUAGCUAGUUGGCGGGGUAAAGGCCCACCAAGGCGACGAUCCGUAGCUGGUCUGAGAGGAUGAUCAGCCACACUGGAACUGAGACACGGUCCAGACUCCUACGGGAGGCAACAGUGGGGAAUAUUGGACAAUGGGCGCAAGCCUGAUCCAGCCAUACCGCGUGGGCGAAGAGGGCCUUCGGGUUGUAAAGCCCUUUUGUUGGGAAAGAAAAGCAGCAGGUUAAUACCCCGCUGUUCUGACGGUACCCAAAGAAUAAGCACCGGCUAACUUCGUG